GAGGCAUUACUUUCAGAGUGACCUGUGUAUCUCCACAACGAGCUUCUCUUCAGUGCUCAGAACAGAUAUCUACUGUCGGGAAAUCUACUUUUUCGGAAGAUUCCACACAUGUUCCAAAAACUACUCCAGAAAUACUAUUCUGAAUUAUGUUCUGAAGAUGUACUGGAUCUUUUCUGGUUGGUUUGGAGACAGCAAAGAAGGAAUCAACCUAAUAUUACACCAGCAGGGAUAAAACUGCACAGGGACUGUUCUGCUGACAGAUCUAUUUGGACAUACUGCAAAUUCUGGCCGUGUCUCAUCACUCUCCAAAGGCUAAAAAGAGCACAUGUCCUGAAGUGGCUAAGCAAACUGAUGACUCCCCUAUACCACAGGAUCACCAGAUGUUCUCUGCAAGCAGCUUAAGGAUUGCUUCUCACUGCUGGGCCACAGGAAAGAGCUGAGGAUCUGUCAUGGCUUUAGAAAUUAUUUUCCUUGUAAGCGUAUUCCAUGGCUUUGCUUUUUGUCCAGAAACAGAGGCCUCUUUGACAAUAAAGCCUUUAAUAUAUGUGAACAGAGAUGAGUGUUGAGCUUCCCUUUAUCUCAACAAAUACUAGGGCUGGUCCUUCUACAAAGCCAACAAAGUUUGUCCCAGAACUGGAAGGAUCCAGUUUUUUUUUCUUUUCUGUCUGACUCAAAGGUCUUUAAUUCCAGCUAGAAUUGUAAAGACUUUGGAGGAAGGAAGACAACAAUACCUCUAAGCAACAUAGUAGAAGAAGCAAGGGUGGAGAACAGCCCUCAAAGGGAUUAUAAAACGAAGUGAAAAGGAGCCAAGACAUUGCCCAUAAGAUGUUAUCCUUGUGGGACUGUGAGAAAUGGAAGAGAAACUCAGUUCUUUCUCAAUAGAUAUUACUCCAAAAGCACCCAAGGAACCUCGUGGUAUCUGAGCUCCCAGGCCUGGGCCUUCCCAGCAAGCACACUGCUGAUGGGGCAGCCUGGGCCUUCACAUACCAGCACACACCAUGAGGAAAUCAGCUCAGCAGUUCUCUUUCCAAACACUGUGCUGUCACGUCCAUCUUCCCCACAUGUCAAAAAUUACAUUUAAAGUACUGAAAGCUAGCAACUCUGGAAAACAAUAAAAUCCAUGAAAUGGUGACUGAUAAGACAAAAAUGCAGCAUUUAGCUCUAACUGCCCACAAUUAAGUUUUCAAAGGCCUGACUGCUGACUGAAAAUAGUCAUCUUCUCCCAGUCAUCUUCUCCCAGGUUUUUUGCUUUUUUUUUUUUUUGGAACAAAUUUGACAAUUAAGGGUGAUAUUCCUUUGUCAAAACAAGUCUUUUGUUAAGUAUUUAACAGGCACUUUAGAGAUUCUGGCAAAGCACUGAAUUUUUGUGCAGUUUUUCUGGAGAAGAAACCUACAUUUUGCCAAAUGCUGUAAACUGGGAUGAGAAAACAACUCACAGUUUUGCUUCUGGAUUUAAGAAAAUAGUGAAUCGGCACAUAGGAUGAAGAGAGUAUAAACAAAGACAGUGUUUUUAAAGCCUGAUCAAAGCUAGAAAAUAGGUAAAAAUAUACGUAAUUAUAUGUAUAUAAACACCAGUACUUUUUACUGCAUAGAAAUUUUAUAUUUAUAUAUAUUUCCAUAUAUGAGAUUCAUAUACACAUCUUACAACAAAGUUCAAAGACGUGGACCACCAUCUCAUGCUGAUUGCUGAAGGAAGAAGAAGCAGAAGGAUAAAAAUCCCCAUUAUUUCUUAGGUGCCCUACCACAAAUUUUUAAAGAAUAGCAUGCACACACACAACACACACACAGACAUAACUCUGGAGAGGAAAUCUGUUUAUGGUAGAGAAGAAAACAGGCAGCACCUCUGUCAAUUGUGCUUUGGCAGUAUAUCGUAUUGCUUCAAGCCAGUAUUUUUUCACAAUGUCCAUUCCCUGUGAAGCAUUGAAAAAUUCUGACGUCUCUGGAGCACAAAGCCCAAAAAUAAAAUAAAAUAAAAAUUAGGUAUUUCUUGCAAGCAGCAAACUCCGCCAUACAUGUGGUACAGCAAAUGAGUCAAAAGUGGAUCAUACCUAGGCCUGAAAACUCUAUAGCAAAUCAGAGCAAAAAAUUUUUCAACAAAUUAGCUUAAAAUAUUGUAAUUACAGACUGAUUUUGAAUUCUUUUAAAGGUAUUCCUGUAUACAUUUCUACAUAUAAGCAAAAUAAUCACAGGGAAAAUAUAACUGGUAAUCAUUUUUUUAAAGAUAGCGGAUGUUAUUACACUAAGAACAAGAUAACUUUGUUUCUGCAUAAGAUUUGAAGGUGGUCAAAGUAAUAUAUAUUUUUUUCUGUCUGUGAAAGGAGUUUGGAUGGGUAUGUGAAUAAAAUAAAAGCUUGCAAAAAUGUUCUUUUUUCUUUUACUUGAUCUGCCCAAGAAGAAAAAUAGAAAUAAAAGAAGUCCUAAAGUAGUUGUCACUUUGAAAUUUCCCAGUGUUUCAAUUAAAAGCUUCAGAGUCUGGCAAAAUUUGUCAAGCUUCCCUUUGAAAAUAAAGGCUGGCUUAACCUUCAAGGGAGUUUCAUUAGGUUGUUAAAGUAGCCCUAACCUAAAGUUGUGCUAAACAGAAAGGUAAGACAGUGUGCUUCAGAUCCUUUUGAAGUCAAUGGAAGUAUUCUCAUGGUCUUCAGUGGUCUUUGACUUCAAACUCAUAAUUCUAAAUUUAGGCUCAUUUAUAAUUGUUCCUUUUGCUUAAUUAACCACUCUAUAAUUAGAAUUUUUUACUUUGGAAUCAGAAUACACAGAGAGAAGUAUUCUGUCUCUCAUAUGUAAACUCGUUCUUAGUCCAGGAAAAACACCUUUUCAACUACUUUUGGCUAAGACCAUUUUCAUUAGAAGAAUGAGGGAAAAGGUCUGAGGAAAACAAAAACUGAAAAAGAGGAGAAAGGAGCUGCACAGAGGACUAGCUGGAUGAUAAAAAAAAAAAAAAGAGAGAGAAGAUCUAUAUUAAGACAAAACAGAUGCAGCUUUAAAGGUGAGAUCUGCAUACCACAAGAUGAGGACAAUAGGACCCAUCCAGACAGCUAAUGUGAUUCGCCAAUAAAACACCAGAAUAUGACAUUGCUGCAUAACAUAGAAGACCUUCUCUUGCUUUUAUGUACAUAUUUGUUGCAAAGAAGAAUAAGAAAGUGUUUAAGGAAUAUAUUAACUCCCCUACAGUUCCUUAAAGUGAAAGUAUGGGCUAUGAAUUAUGUACACCUCUCUGUAAGGACCAAAGCCUGACAAAAAAAAGAAACAGAAGAUUUGCAUUCAGAGACAUCUCUAUUUUAAUAGAGAAGGAUUUUACCCAAAAGUACGUGCUACUGUGUGACAGACAGCUGCUUGACUGGCAAGAGGGAAGCAGAUGACUACCUGAUGAUGGCCAAUUUUCCUGCAGCUCAGCUGGAGGGCUUCUAGUCCAAGCCAAGUUGUCUUGGCUCCCUCUAUAGUCCAAAUAAAGAAAAAGGCACUUCUGGAGAGCAGCUGUUCUCAUACCACACGUUUAUCUUUGGUGCACUGAUGCCUCUUGAUCCCCAGUGUGCUGCAGAGGGGACCUUGAUGAGCAUCUUAGACAAGAACUCAAGUAUUUGACAGUCAACACCAGGCUGUUGAACUAACUGUUACUAGGUUUUCAAACAUAAUGGAAAACAGUGGGAAGUAGAAUUUAAAUAGGACUUGAACAGCAAUUUUGCAAUUUUUCCAGCCUUAACAGAAACUUUAUAAGACUUCUAAAUGCCUCACACAUCCUGUCCUCCCAAGGUUCUGGAUGUUACUUGUGAGAUACCCUUGGACUAGGGUUGUGUCUUCUGCUCAUUGCUGUACAGAGCUAUCUUAUGGAGCAAGAGGAUAGCCAAAAUAUCCUGUGCUUUGUGUGUGAACUUACUAAAUGGCAUCCAAUUUAUCUACAGAGAACAUUUAAGCAAGCAGAAAAGUAUUUCCCAUUGUGUAUGCACAAUCAGACUGGUACACUGCACAGUUAGUUUCUGCUAUGAAUUCCAGAGAGUUCAAAAGGUAACAUUAGUUGCACCUAUGUGGUUUUGCUCAAGUAAAUGAGGGCAUUUUCUCUGCACAGUGCCCACACUUUCGCUACUAGCAGCUACUUCUAGUUGUGCACAGCCAAGAGCCAUUUUCUUUCAAAAUAUGUUCCAUGAUCCCGAACUUUUCUGCGUGGACUUAUUUGGGAAAGAACAAAGCCAGCUGAUGCCCUGACUCUUGCUCCAGUCGAUGGGGGUACAUACAACCCUGUCUGGAGGAGUGAAGUCAGGUGAGUGCAAUCAGGAUACAUGCAGUUGGAAACCUUCCUGCCUUUCCUCCCAUCAGGUCUUUGUCACACUCUAAAUAAGAGCACAUGUUACUUAAGACAGUAAUGUGAACAUUUUGCAAGGCAAAUUGCUGCAGAUAUGUAAUGGCAGAAUGUGGAAGAGGAUAAGCAACAAAUGCUCUGCAUUGUCAGGCUCAUACCACAGAUUAUCUCCUAGAGAAUUACAUUACUCCACCUGGAUGCUAAUAAAUAUAUUCAAGUAAAUUCCACUAUAUUAGUAUGGUAUUUUUAGCUUAAAAAUGUAUUAAACUCAAUUCAUACAAAAGUAUUAGCAUUUCAAAACUAGACCUAUACAGAAAUAUUUUCCUUACCAAUUUCCUGAUCUGAGUCACUGCUUUUAAUUCAAGACAGCUGUUCCAUGACAGGACAGGACUCAACUGAGAUCCCAGUGAUGACUCCAUUGCCUUGGGUGUAGUAACGAAGACGUGGCCACUGCAGGGUUGUGGUCUGGUUUUUAAACAUAACAUGGCAAGUUAGUGAAACAUUAAAAUGCAAGAGAUCAUUAUAUUCAAGACUUUCUCUUCCCUGCUCCUUCUCCUAAAGGGGAAAUCAGACACACAGGAUUGUAGACUUCUGCCACCACUUGCCAUGGGUGGGUGCAGUUGGACACCAGCUUAAGGCAGAAAGGACAAAGCUGAGGAUGAGCUGAAAGUGCUUGCACCAGCCCCAUGGCUCCAUGCUCCUCCAGUGUGUUUUUGAGUAGCAUCAUGCUUCUGAGAAUAUGUUCCUUAGAGGACUUGGUGAAAAAGAAUAAGAGCAUGAUAAGCAAGACCAAAUAAAUAUUACAUAAACUUAUUUUCAUAAGUAAAUCUCAAGGUACUUUACAAUGGAAGGUCCAUCUUUUUUCCUUUAUGCAACACGAGAAACUGAGGCACAGAGAAAGUACAUAAAUAAAUAUAAAUUAUAAAUUCUUCAGUUUUUGUCUUGAACAGAAAUCAGAAUUUACAAUUCAUUGGUUAUUCUGAAAUAAAAAAUAAAAUAUAAAAUAUUGAAAGGGAGAAAAGUAAACUGGAACUUUGUUGUCAACAUUAGACAGGAAGCUAGAAAAUGUUGUCACUUUAACCCAGGGAAUGUCCUUCGUCAUUGUAUAUUACAGUGUUAAAAAGGUAUAAUCAGUAGUACAGAUUAAAAGUCAAAUAACAGUAAUUAUAAUGAUGAAAUAUAUCUUUUAUUGAAAUAUGUCAUAUUAAAAAGAAAUAAAAUGAACAGUGUACAUUAUUCUCAAUUGACAAUUUUGUUUAUACAAUCAAAUUUCUGCAAAAUACUCCAACUAUGAAAACAAAGUUUUUUUUUUUAAUGGAAAGGGGUUUAGUUUAUCUUAAGACUUGAUGUGGUGACAUUAUGUUGGCUGUGUUUUAUGCUGUGGAUUUACUGUCAUACCCAGUGACGUCAGCACAGACCACGUCAUUAAGUUAGGGGUUCACCACUUCAACCAAGUGUUUAGCUUUCUGGGUUGAAGGUUUGGAGAAAUUUAUUUGUGGGAUAAAUGGAGAUUUAGGCUGUUGAAGCAUAAGUGUUGUUUAGAAAAUAUGUGCUAUUUACAUUGUGCACAAAACUAUAUGAGACACAGAUAUAAGAAUGUAUUACUAUGUAUAUAUCUAGUAUAAACACACCAUGAUUAAAUAUCAUUUGUUCUGUAAUUGUCAAUUGAGAAAAUAAAUUGUAAGACAAAAGCAUUGGUAAUGAUUGAACACAGACAGUUUAAUCAAGCAGCAACUUUUGAAGAAGUAAUUUUGUCCUAAAAGUCAAAAGUAAGUAAAGCCAUAAUUGAACUUAAACUGCUGAAGUUCAAAUUAAAGCACAUAUUCACCAUCAAUGACUGUGCCUAAAGACACAGGCAGUGAUACAGAGGCAGAAGUGAGAAGCACAGCUGGUUCAAGCACAGCUGGCACCUCCCUGGGAAAGUGCCAAUAAUCCCUCUGACACAUGCAAGGCUCCCAGUGCUGGAGAAAACCAAGAAUACAGGGCUAAAAUUUGGCAGCUACUUAUCAGCAUGUGAUUUAGUGACAUAAGAUAGCUAAGUACAUAAUUACCUAUAUAUAUAUUUUUUAAUUCUCAAAAUACUGCUGGUGCACAGGAGUUCUCAAUGGGAAUCAGGAAGAAAUCUGGGAGACUUUCCAAGUGCAGGAUUGGAAGGCUUACAUAGUCACAAUUAUGAUUUUAGAAAAACAGACCACAAAUAUGUCACGCAGACUGGAGAGUGUGAUGUAUAGAUAAACACAUACACACUGCAUUGAUUGUAUUUUGUAACAAAAGGGAUGAAGACCAGCAUGUGUGUCUUUGACAGGAUAGCUCAAACAAAAAUCACAUGUACAGCAAACAUUCCCCAUAAUUCUUGAAAUUAGGCAAAAGUGUGUUAAAACUCCAAGUUGCACAAGGACUUAAAAUGCUUGUAUGCAGUUUGGGAAAUGAUUGAAGGAAAAUAGAAAGUGUCUGUGACAAGAAAGCAAAAAGACAGCUUUGAGAUGAUGGUAACAUAUUUUUAGAGCAUAAGUAAGUUCUCUUAAAAUCAGUUCUCUCUAUGCUUGUUCAUUACUCCUAGUCAUAUUACUAGAAAUUCCUUCAACGUACCUGGGAGCACAAAUUAACAUAAUAUUAGCAAUGAAUCUACUGACAUAUUUCAAGUACUUGGACUACUGUGAACUGAGAGAUUGAGUCAAUUUUAAGAGAUCACUUAAAAUCAACUUCAGUACAUUGUUUCUCCUGGUGUGAAGUAAUGUGGUUAUGUGGUCUCACUCAACAAAGUCGUGCCUGCGUGGAGCAGCUGGUGUGCCUGAUCUUCACGUGUGGUCUCCCCUUGAUUUUGCUGGAUUCAGGAUCAUCUGCAGAGAGCAUAUGUAUCUGGAUAAUGGAUUUGCCUCACUGAAAUUGCAGCCUUCAAGACAGACCAGCAGCUCAGCAGUGCACCUGGAUACUUUAGCAGGAAAUGAAGCUGUUUGGAAUACAAAGGAAAAAAAAAUCUGCAUGGGUCAUGUUUUUCGUAUGAAAAUAAUUAGAUAUUGUAGAUAUUCCUUCCCCUCUCUGGAUGAUUCUCACAGAUCAAUGAGUGGAGGCUGUCCUGAGUGGUCCAGGACAGUGGUCCAGGUUAAUAAGUACUUUGUUAAACCUAUUCACAUCUUUCCUUAAUCACAGAUCUUACAUAAACUCUGUUAUCAAUACUGGAUACUUCCAAAGGAGAGCUAAAACGAGAGAGAGUCUGUUUCAGAAAAGCACUGAAUGCAAACAUACAAAUCACACAGAUGGGCUUACUGCUGACAAACAGACAAAAAUCAAAAAUUAAAUGUCCACAUUCCUUAUCAAGAAAAGGAAACAAAUAAA
ensembl:lncRNA